UGAGGAACAUGACCUUCGGCGGGGGAUAGCCGGCCCAACGGCCGGGUAAUACCGCGUACGACCACUUUGGGACAUCCCUCGGUGGUGAAAGCAGCAAUGCGCCGAUGGAGUGCCUCGCGGCCUAUCAGCUAGUUGGUGAGGUAACGGCUCACCAAGGCGACGACGGGUAGCUGGUCUGAGAGGAUGGCCAGCCCACAGUUGGGACUGAGACGCGGCCAGACUCCGUACGGGAGCAG
rnacentral:rRNA from 1 species